GUGUGAGUGCCAAUGAGACAACUCUCCAUCCAAAUAACAAUUUAAAAAAAAGUAAACCAUUAUAGGUCAAUGUACGGCCUUCAACACGGAGCCUUGGCUCACACCGAACAACAAGCUAUAAAGGGCCCAAAAUUACUAGUGUAAAACCAUUCAAACGGGAAAACCAACGGUCUAAUCUAUAUAAAAAUUUAAAAAAACGAGAAACGAGAAACGCGUAUAAAUUACAUAAACAAACGACAACUACUGUACAUCAGAUUCCUGACUUAGGACAGUUGCAAACAUUUGCAG
rnacentral:lncRNA from 1 species